GUCGGGUUAGCUCAGUUGGGAGAGCGUUGCACUGAAGAUGCAAAGGUCGGGUGUUCAAUCCACCCACACGACA
rnacentral:tRNA from 1 species